rnacentral:rRNA from 1 species
AGUACGACCGCAAGGUUGAAACUCAAAGGAAUUGACGGGGGCCCGCACAAGCGGUGGAGCAUGUGGUUUAAUUCGAAGCAACGCGAAGAACCUUACCAGGUCUUGACAUCCUUUGACCACUCUAGAGAUAGAGCUUCCCCUUCGGGGGCAAAGUGACAGGUGGUGCAUGGUUGUCGUCAGCUCGUGUCGUGAGAUGUUGGGUUAAGUCCCGCAACGAGCGCAACCCUUAUUGUUAGUUGCCAUCAUUCAGUUGGGCACUCUAGCAAGACUGCCGGUGACAAACCGGAGGAAGGUGGGGAUGACGUCAAAUCAUCAUGCCCCUUAUGACCUGGGCUACACACGUGCUACAAUGGGAAGUACAACGAGUCGCGAAGUCGCGAGGCUAAGCUAAUCUCUUAAAGCUUCUCUCAGUUCGGAUUGCAGGCUGCAACUCGCCUGCAUGAAGCCGGAAUCGCUAGUAAUCGCGGAUCAGCACGCCGCGGUGAAUACGUUCCCGGGCCUUGUACACACCGCCCGUCACACCACGAGAGUUUGUAACACCCGAAGUCGGUGAGGUAACCUUUUGGAGCCAGCCGCUUAAGGUGGGA